GUCGGGAGUUAGGAAAUGCAGGGGUGUUAAUAGCGCUCUUGCUUGACUAAGGCUCCAGAGGAAGCCACGGCUAACUCUGUGCCAGCAGCCGCGGUAAUACAGAGGCGGCAAGCGUUGUUCGGAAUUAUUGGGCGUAAAGAGCACGUAGGCGGCCUUGUCAGUCAGUUGUGAAAGCCUUCCGCUCAACGGAAGAAUGCCAGCUGAUACUACAGGGCUUGAGUACGGGAGGGGAGAGUGGAACUUCUGGU
rnacentral:rRNA from 1 species